UACGUAGGGUGCAAGCGUUGUCCGGAAUUAUUGGGCGUAAAGAGCUCGUAGGCGGUCUGUUGCGUCGGCUGUGAAAACCCGGGGCUCAACUCCGGGCCUGCAGCCGAUACGGGCAGACUAGAGUUCGGCAGGGGAGACUGGAAUUCCUGGUGUAGCGGUGAAAUGCGCAGAUAUCAGGAGGAACACCGGUGGCGAAGGCGGGUCUCUGGGCAGUAACUGACGCUGGAGACGCGAAAGCGUGGGGAGCAAACAGG
rnacentral:rRNA from 1 species